GUUAGGAAUAUUGGACAAUGGACGCAAGUCUGAUCCAGCCAUGCCGCGUGAGUGAUGAUGGCCUUCGGGUUGUAAAGCUCUUUAGCCGAUGAUUAUAAUGACUGUAGUCGGAAAAUAAGCCCCGGCUAACUUCGUGCCAGCAGCCGCGGUAAUACGAAGGGGGCGAGCGUUAUUCGGAAUCACUGGGCGUAAAGCGUGCGUAGGCGGUUUUGUAAGUUGGGAGUGAAAGCCCAGGGCUCAACCCUGGAAUUGCUCUCAAAACUACAAGACUUGAAUUCGGGAGAGGAUAGCGGAAUUGUCAGUGUAGCAGUGAAAUGCGUAGAUAUUGACAGGAACACCAGUGGCGUAAGCGGCUAUCUGGACCGACAUUGACGCUGAGGCACGAAAGCGUGGGGAUCAAACAGGAUUAGAUACCCGAGUAGUCC
rnacentral:rRNA from 1 species